rnacentral:rRNA from 1 species
CUCAGCGAAAUUGAAUUCUCCGUGAAGAUGCGGAGUACCCGCGGUUAGACGGAAAGACCCCGUGCACCUUUACUAUAGCUUCGCACUGGCAUCAGGCACGCGAUGUGCAGGAUAGGCGGUAGACUUUGAAGCAGGAACGCCAGUUUCUGUGGAGUCUCCCUUGAGAUACCGCCCUUCUCUUGCUUGAUGUCUAACCGCGGUCCGUUAUCCGGAUCCGGGACCCUGCGUGGUGGGUAGUUUGACUGGGGCGGUCGCCUCCUAAAGAG